rnacentral:misc_RNA from 1 species
UCCGAGUUGACCCCGGCAGUCUCCUGCGAGUCCCCGGCUUUACCCGCUGGCAACACAGGACAAGGGUUGCGCUCGUUGCGGGACUUAACCCAACAUCUCACGACACGAGCUGACGACAACCAUGCACCACCUGUACACCGACCUUACGGGGAGCACAUCUCUGCACUUUUCCGGUGUAUGUCAAGCCUUGGUAAGGUUCUUCGCGUUGCAUCGAAUUAAUCCGCAUGCUCCGCCGCUUGUGCGGGCCCCCGUCAAUUCCUUUGAGUUUUAGCCUUGCGGCCGUACUCCCCAGGCGGAGUGCUUAAUGCGUUAGCUACGGCACGGAAAGCGUGAAUGCUCCCCACACCUAGCGCCCAACGUUUACAGCGUGGACUAC